AUCUUUUUAAUUUUAUUUUUUAUUUUCUUCUAUUUUUCUUUUUUUCUCUGUUUUGCACAUAUAUAGCACUUCCACUAGUUUCCUUAAAAACACUCAAGUAGCAGAUCAUUACAGACUAAUGGAACUCAUCAUCAGGCUGCGUACUCCAUGUGGGGUCUUGAGCAAUGUGAGAUUCCACGUGGUAGCAAAGAGAAACCAGGAUGUGAGUGCCUAUGGCUGGCAUCUCAGGCUCCAUCAAUUCUUUUUAUCUUUUCAUUGAGAAAGAUGUAAAAAGAGGGCAUGCAAUAGAGGUGGACCAGAUCCUGGGGCAUGGAGUGUGGUGAAGACAGCAGCUCAGAGAGGAAGGCAGCAGAGUCCUGCAAUGGCCAUGAUGCUCGCACAGAGAGGAGGAAACCCGCCCGCCUGGCUUCUGCACCAUGGGAG
rnacentral:lncRNA from 1 species